GAGAAAGUUUUUUCAACUUUUGCCGUUUCCAUCAACAUUUUCUAAUGUGAUACUUCAAAAUGCGCAUACAAAUAUGUUGAGGGAAACAUGACUAGUCAUGGCC